rnacentral:lncRNA from 1 species
GAACACAAUCUGGUCAUGUCAUUGAAAAGAUAAAACCGAGAUGCAGAAAGUCAUUGUCCUAAUGAUCACUUUUUAUUCCCCUUCGAGCAUUAAACCCCAAAGAGAAAGGGAUGGGAGACUUAAUCAUCGACUUGAUCACAGCCCCUGAAUUCUCCUUCCACAGGGGUAUAGGAGCUUUCUCUUACUCCUCCCUUCUUCCUCGACUGCCUGGAAUGAAAAAUUCACUGCUAUGUGGGGAUCCUGGGCUUGUUUUUCAAACUCUCUGAGAAUUGCUGCUGAGUCCUUUAUGAGGAAAGCCCAGCGGUGUCCUCUGUCCACAUUCUUUGCCCAAAGGAGAUGAGAACUUCAGUUUUCUCAGGGAGAGCCUAGGCUCAACACAGAAUCCUAGACUUAGAACUUAUCAUCAAGUUCAUUUCCUUCCCUGGGAAACAACAUAAAGUUACAAAAUUUUAAAAUUAGCCAACUAGAGGUUAAAAAGCAAAAAUCAAACAUCUAUUAUCAAUAUCGUUUCACAUGAAAGAUAUUUCAAUGACAACAAAAUAGAAAGGACACAAUCGCAGACUAAUUAUAGUUCUUUAGCUUGAAUAUAUGUAGUUUCAAGGAAAAGCCACACUUUCAUUCUUCUAUUUUUUUGUUGUUGCCAACCACAGGAAUGUGUCAUGACCUGCUGCAACCUUUGGGUGGCAAUUUGGGAACCUUCCAUUCAGUACAAACCCCUCUGAUGAUUAAAAUCUUUGACAUCAUUCCUACCCUAGAGUUACCGAGUUCUGUAAGAAAUAUUUACCUCCCUCUCCCAAUAAUAGAAUCAACCGUUUAUUCCUAUGUAUUUUCCUAUUGUGGGGGAGAGCUUUUAUUAUGCAACUGAUAGCAUUGCAUUUCAAAGGUCUGUCUUUUUUAGAAAGUCUUAGGAAAAACUGGGUGACUUCCUAAGUUUCCUAAGCUAAUAUUUUUUAUUUUGAGAACGUCAAGGAGAUGCCACCCAAACACUAGCAAGACAGGCUAAUGCGGAGAAUGACAGCUCAUUGGGAACAGAGCUGCUGGUGCCAGCAACUGUUAGGGACACUUAAAUGGUAACUGACCAAUUGCUGGAUGCUGAGUGUGGAAUAGUUGAGAGUUUAAAACUCCUGGGGGCCAAGACUUGGGGGUGAGUCCCCACACUUCUGUGAGUUUUAUCUGCAGGUGCUUGAGCAGGUUCUUAUGAUGGAGAUCAGAAAAACCCCCAAAGGACUGACACUAGCAACUUCCAGACCUGCUAGAAAGCUACAGUUAUCCAAACAGUGUGGAACUGGUGAAAACACAGAGAAUAGGUCAAUGGAACAAAAUCAGAAAUAGAUCUACAUAAAUGCAGUCAAUUAAUGUUUGCAAAGGAGCAAAAGCAAUUCAAUGGUGAAAGAAUAAUGAUAGUCUCUUCCACAAAUGAUGCUGGAGCAACUGGACACCUACAUUGAAAAAAAAAGAAUCCAGACAGAGACCUUCUUCCUUUCACAAGGUGGAUUAUAGUCCUAAACGUAAGGUGUAAAAACCACAAAAAUUAUAGAAGAUAACAUGGAAGGAUAUCUAGGUGACUUUGGGUUUGGUGAUGACUUUUUUGAUAUAAUACUAAAAGCACAAUCCAUUAAAGAAAAAAUUGAUAAGUUGGACUUCAUUAAAAUUAAAAACUUCUGCUCUGUGAAAGACACUGUUAAGCUAAUUAAAGGCAAGCCACAGACUGGGAGAAAAUCUUUGCAAAACACAUAUCUGAUGAAGGACUGGUAUCCUAAAUAUACAAAGAACUCUUAAAACUCAACAAUGAGACAGCUAACUUCCCAAUUAAAAAAUAGACAAAAGAUCUAAAAAGGCACUUCACCAAAAAAAGAAAUACAGAUGGCAAAGAAACCUCUGAAAGAUGCAUAAAAUCAUUUGUCAUUAGGGAACUGCAAAUUAAAACGACAGUGAGAUAUCUCUCUAUACCCAUUAGAAUGACUAAAUUCAAAGCACUGAUAACACCAAAUGUCGGCAAGGAUAUGGAUCAAUAGGACUCUCAUUCUUUAGUGAUGGGAACACAAAAAUGGCACAGCCACUUUAGAAGACAGUUUGGCAGUUUCUUACAAAACUAAACAUACUCUUACAUUUGAUCCAACAAUCACAGUCCUUGGUAUUUCCCAAAUGAGAUGAAAAGUUAUGUUCAUACAAAAAUCUGCAGAUGAGUGGGGCUG